GGGGCUAUAGCUCAGCUGGGAGAGCGCUUGCAUGGCAUGCAAGAGGUCAGCGGUUCGAUCCCGCUUAGCUCNN
rnacentral:tRNA from 1 species